rnacentral:rRNA from 1 species
UGGGGAAUAUUGGACAAUGGGCGAAAGCCUGAUCCAGCCAUGCCGCGUGUGUGAAGAAGGUCUUCGGAUUGUAAAGCACUUUAAGUUGGGAGGAAGGGCAGUAAGCGAAUACCUUGCUGUUUUGACGUUACCGACAGAAUAAGCACCGGCUCACUCUGUGCCAGCAGCCGCGGUAAUACAGAGGGUGCAAGCGUUAAUCGGAAUUACUGGGCGUAAAGCGCGCGUAGGUGGUUCGUUAAGUUGAAUGUGAAAGCCCCGGGCUCAACCUGGGAACUGCAUCCAAAUCUGGCGAGCUAGAGUAGGGCAGAGGGUGGUGGAUUUUCCUGUGUAGCGGUGAAAUGCGUAGAUAUAGGAGGGGACAACAGUGGCGAAGGCGACCACCUGGGCUCAUACUGACACUGAGGUGCGAAAGCGUGGGGAGCAAACAGG